ACGUAACUUCUUUCUUAUCAUCAUUUAUCUCUAUUCUCUUCCUAACUCUCUCUCUCUCUUUCUUUUUCUUUUCUAAAUUUUCGCCACACAAGGUGCAGCCUCGAGUUUCUUCACGAUCGGGAAUUCAAACAACAUCCGAUUGUCACGAAAUUUUAACCAAAGGUAGAAGACUCAUAAAGGAUCAUUCUUACCGAAGGAGAUCAAAUUUUAACGGUUAGAUUUUCCAGAAAUAAUUUCGGAAGUGGCUGUCGGUUUCUACAGUAGCAGCGUCGAUUUUCUAUACGAUCGGGGGUUCAAACGUAGUCCGAUCGUUCUGAAAUUUUAAAGGAAGGAUUUAGCUCGUGGUUUGAUAAUCAUUACCUCGAGAGGAUGAUAAGAGAUUUCUAUGACGAGACUUGGAAUCCUCCUUCCUAAAGAGAUUUGAACACUUGGGAACUUCUUCGUCUACUUGCUCGAAAAUAAAAGUUUGGAAGUGAAAGAGAAUUUUGGGUAGGCGUCGGUAAUGGAAGCUGAUACCUUCCUUUAUACUCUAAUUCUCUACACAAAAGUAGAGUCAAGGAGCUUGUUUGAUGGCGGAGCUCCCGGGAUGGUGCAGGUGGUAAAGAAGGUCAAGUCUAGGAGGUUUUUCUAAAAUGGAAGCAGGAGUUACUAAUCGCUCGCGAUGUCGGACUUUCUUUUAUCAUUGUAAACAUUCAAAUACCACUUGUUAUUUUAUGCAUCUAGAUUAGUGCAUCAAAUAUGUAAUUAGAACGGGGUAUUACAUUGUGUAGACUAACAAGGUAGCUCGGUUAAUAAUAUAAUGAUAUUAGUGUAAUAAUGUAGCUCGGAUAUUACUAACACAAUCAUCCAACCUGAGGAUUCAAGAUCUUAGAUUUA